GCCUAUCUCAGUUCGGAUUGGAGGCUGAAACCCGCCUCCAUGAAGUUGGAUUCGCUAGUAAUCGCGCAUCAGCCAUGGCGCGGUGAAUACGUUCCCGGGCCUUGUACACACCGCCCGUCAAGCCAUGGAAGCCGGGAGUGCCUGAAGUGCGUGAGCGCAAGCAGCGCCCUAAGGUAAAACCGGUGACUGAGGCUAAGUCGUAACAAGGUAGC
rnacentral:rRNA from 1 species